ensembl:misc_RNA Metazoa_SRP Metazoan signal recognition particle RNA
GCUGGGCGUGGUAGCGCACGCCUGUAAUCCCAGCACUUUGGGAGGCCGAAUUGGGUGGAUCACCUGAGGUCAGGAGUUCGAGGCCAGCCUGGCCAACAUGGUGAAACCCCAUCUCUA